GUCUACAGCCAUACCACCCUGAACGCGCCCGAUCUCGUCUGAUCUCGGAAGCUAAACAGGGUCGGGCCUGGUUAGUACUUGGAUGGGAGAUUCAGAGAGGACAGGGAGACUGCAAACA
rnacentral:rRNA from 1 species